rnacentral:rRNA from 1 species
GAGUUUGAUCCUGGCUCAGAUUGAACGCUGGCGGCAUGCCUUACACAUGCAAGUCGAACGGCAGCACGGGAGCUUGCUCCUGGUGGCGAGUGGCGAACGGGUGAGUAAUGCAUCGGAACGUAUCCUGGAGUGGGGGAUAACGUAGCGAAAGUUACGCUAAUACCGCAUAUUCUGUGAGCAGGAAAGCGGGGGACCUUCGGGCCUCGCGCUCUUGGAGCGGCCGAUGUCGGAUUAGCUAGUUGGUGAGGUAAAGGCUCACCAAGGCGACGAUCCGUAGCAGGUCUGAGAGGAUGAUCUGCCAACACUGGAACUGAGACACGGUCCAGACUCCUACGGGAGGCAGCAGUGGGGAAUUUUGGACAAUGGGGGCAACCCUGAUCCAGCCAUGCCGCGUGAGUGAAGAAGGCC